UACGUAGGUGGCAAGCGUUAUCCGGAUUUAUUGGGCGUAAAGGGAACGCAGGCGGUCUUUUAAGUCUGAUGUGAAAGCCUUCGGCUUAACCGGAGUAGUGCAUUGGAAACUGGGAGACUUGAGUGCAGAAGAGGAGAUUGGAACUCCAUGUGUAGCGGUGAAAUGCGUAGAUAUAUGGAAGAACACCAGUGGCGAAAGCGGCUCUCUGGUCUGUAACUGACGCUGAGGUUCGAAAGCGUGGGUAGCAAACAGG
rnacentral:rRNA from 1 species